UCCCUGGUGGUCCAGUGGUUAGGAUUCCAUGCUUCUAAUGCAGAGGGUGUGUGUUCGAUCCUUGCUUAGGGAA
rnacentral:tRNA from 1 species